rnacentral:tRNA from 1 species
GGGUGCUUAGCUCAGCUGGUAGAGCGUCGCCCUUACAAGGCGAAGGUCACAGGUUCGAGCCCUGUAGCACCCACCA